GCGCUCGACCACCCGCUCCGGCCUCCGGGCACCUCCAGCAGCUGCGGGCCCGCACCUAGCUCGGCCAGCAGCCGCGCGGGUCUUUAGCCAGCCCACGGCAGCCGGAGCCCCAAGGGUGCGUGCGCGUGGAGGGGGACGUCGCCAGGGCCGGGGACACCUUGGCCGCCCAAGGCUGGGAGAGUCGGCGCGCGUGCGGGCGCACAGCAGCCGCCCGAAGCCUCGCAGGUCCGGGGUGGCAGGCGGGGAGCCCUCCCAAGUGAUCCCCUGGCCCGACAAGCGGCUAACUUUCGCGCCUGCCCCGGCGUGGCACUCGGUGCCCACACGAGCCCCUCCCGGGUCCCGAUUAGAACUCCCCUGGCGUGCACCUGGUCCAGAGUCCUCCAGGUCUCGAGAGGAGCCCCCGCCACACCUGCCACUGCGCGCCCCGCCAUUUCCGGGACCCGCAAAGCCACACUUUCGACCCCCACCUCCGGCCCCGGCCCGCGCCACCACGUCCUCCCCCGGGGCCAUUCACCUUCCAGCCGGCCGAACUGUUGCUGUCGCCCUUAUCCUUGAAGUAGGGCACGCUCUUCACCAUCCACUCGUAGAUCUGCGACAGGGAUGGAAACCACGAGGUUUUGAGUGAAAUCCAAAAAGAUGAGACCCAAGUGUUGAGGGGCAGCCACCCCCAUCCCCCAACGGGUCCUUUAAGCUUCCUGCUUCGGGUACCUUCAGCCUGCUCCCACCUACACCUCACUGAUCCCAGAGCGAGCUCCCAGAUCUGGCUGUCUAAUACAGGCUCAGCAGGGCCGAAGGUAGAAAGAUGAUGAUUCGUGUCGUCUUCCAGAGCAGAAGAAAACGUUCCCUCGCUUGGUUUUUUUAUUUGCUUUCUCUUUUAAAACGAAUAUGAAUGGCAUUUUCUUCCAAUGAAUAGGAUGUCUUAGAAUUGAAGAAUAUUAGGGUUUUAAAUGUGUUCAAAAAGACAGCUCCUAAUUUCCUGUUGCUGUUGUAUUUCACUCUUCUUUCUUACGUGGAACUCUAUUUAAAAGGGGGCAUCUAAAGAAAAAGAGAGCCUUACGAAGGUUAGAAUUAUGUAGAGGGUUUGUCCCAAGCAUCUCUCUAUCCCAGGCCCCUAUUUCUUCAUAAUCCCUUUAUUGCAAUGACUUCUUACUGAUCUCACAUGGGUAGAGACCCUGAACCGGAAGUGCUGGGGAGGGACAGGUUGGUUGAGGUCUCUUCUCUUCACCUUGCCGGUAAGUUUUGGCAAGUGGGGUCUUUGGCAGCAGCUAGGAGACUUGAGUAAGUCGGUGAGCUUAAAAGGACCACAGAGAACCACCCUUUGCUGCUCCUUCCCUUUAUAACCCCGCUGCCGGGAUGGGCCCGCGUCCAGAAGCCGCACCCUGCAAACAGGAGUACUAGUGGACCAAUCUUGGCGAUGGCAUCCAGCUGUGAUUUUGGCCUUACCCUCAUUUUUCUUCCGGUUUCUCCAGGAUGAGAGCAUUUGGUUAAAGGAGUUUUCCUAACGCUUUCCCAAAUCUUCAGAUUCUCUAAGACCACUGCCCCCAAUUGUUCCUUUAAGUGUCCUAGUAUGGGCCAGUAGGUAGAGCAGGGGCUUAGCAUGUGUGAAGCCCUGAGUUCAAUGCCCAAGACCAAAAGGGAGUCAGAGAUCCCGUAUUGUCAGUGUCCUAAUACAGAGGUCAAAAAAGUGUAAAUAUGCGCUAAAAGGUUGGUAUGGGUGAUUAUUCUACGCUUGUGUCUAAAUGUCAGUUUACUGAAGCAUAGAGCAUUGCUGAGCCUCUCAGCUGUUUCCUGUCGUUGCCUGGCACUAACUAUUCUGUAAAGAAAAACCCGUGUAACUGGCAUCUCACAUCCUCCCAAGGAUGGAGAAGAGUGCAAAAGUAGUCACUGGGAGAGCAGGCGUGUGCUUUGGGAAUAUCGGAAGGAACAGGUGAGCCCUCCUUGAUAAAAGUUAUCUCUAGCUACACUUACUUUUCUGAUGGCCCUGCAAAAUGCUACACUUGAAAGUAAGCUUGGAGAUUAUCUUUGAUCUCCUUUAAUUAAUAGAUCAUCAGACAGCACACUUAGAGGGUAGUAAGUCUCUCGAUUUCCCAUCAAUCCCGUCAGUGCAUCAUGCAGAGAAGUAUAAGCAUCCUAUAAUGCCAGUGUAUGCAUAAACACUGCAGUCUGUGUAUGUCCUUCCUGCUAGCCAUGUAUUGUCAAAAUUUUAGUCAAAUGGAUUCCACCAAGGUGAGUGAAGUUUUGGCUUAAAAGAUUAAGAAAGCUGGGCUUGUGACUUAGCCAGGGAGAGUGCCUGCUGAGUGUACAGUGUUGCUCUGGAUUCCAGCAUAAACUCCCUGUGGCAGCACAAACCAGUAACCCCAGCACUUCAGAUGUGGAAGCAGGAAGGUCAGGAGGUGAGUUCAAAACUAGCCUGGGCUACAUGAGACCUUGUCCCCACCCCCACCCCCGAAAAAGAGAGAGAAAGAAAUGAUUAAGAAAAUAGAGUGGAAAAAAAAGAAAGAUACCACAAUAAAAGGUGGUUAGUGAAAGACUGUCAACUUGCCAGGACUAGUGGCUCAGGCCCUCAAGCCUAGCCCUCAGGGAGCCUGAGACAGACAGCUCUCUUGAGUUCCAGGCCAGUCUGUUCUACGUAGUGAGUGUCAUGCCAGCUAAGGCUCCACAGGGCUUGUCUCCCAAACAAGUAAAGUAAAUGUUUUAGCUGGUGCUAAAGGCCCCAAAUCCCAGAAAUUCGUAUAGCUAGACCAGGAGAUUCUCAAGUUUCAGGUCUCCUGGGCUACAGAACGAGAUAAAGUCCAGUUAGAAUAAGACCCUGUCUCAAGAUUAAAAGGGGAGGGGGCCUGGGGAAGCAGCCUAGUGGUACAGAUUGCCUAGUGGUAAAGAAGUCCUAUGCUUCAUCACUAGUAUGGGGGGGUGGGUAGAAAUAAUAGGUGGAUAAGAUACAGUUAUUAGGCUGUGAGUAUAGUUCAGUGGUAUGUGAACUCAGUGACUCGUGUAUGAGACACUGGCUUUGACCCCUGGCACUGCAAUAAAAUAAUAUUUGGAAUGAUAUCCUACAGUGCUGGUGAUACAACAUUUACCAGUUCAGAUAGUACUCCUGUCACCUGAAGAUGUUGCACCCUUGGCUUAACACAGAGCCCUCAGUUUCAAAUUAGGAAAUAGGAACACUGAGGAGUUUGAUGAUUUGCUCAAGUUUUGUGCAGUUCGUAGGGCUGGGUACAAAAUCCAAAUUUCCUCUUCUUCAGGUCAAGAAUAUGCUUUCUGUCUUGUUACUAUGACAUCCCUUUUACCACCUGGGGGCUUUAAAACCAUCUAAUAAAGUUUAACCUCUUUUAAAUAGUAGGCCCUUACACAAUUUUUUUAAAUAAACAAAUUCUGGGCUUCAAACUGCAUGCACAUUAGAAUUUAAAUUUUUUAUGACAUUGAGAACUCAUAGUAUGGCCAUACAAUUAAUAGCACAUGAAACUUCAAAUUCUCAUAGUGUCACAAAUCUGAACUUUGCAUUCAUUUUGAAACACAAUAUGUUUUCACUGUUUUAUUUCUGUUUCUUGUCAUAUUAAAGCUCUUACCAUGCUCUUCCCCAAAGCGGGACAUGUGUAUUAAAUAAGAAAAUGUUGCCAUGUAGAACGCAGAUGGCAGUACACUUUUGGCACCGAGGAGGUUUAACAAGGCAUUUUACUCGGAAAACUUGUGUGCAUGAAAACUUGUGUGCAUGAAUGUUCAAGUUACAAGGUAAGAAAUCAAUUGCUGCUUU